GACGAACGCUGGCGGCGUGCCUAAUACAUGCAAGUCGAACGCAGUGGGGACGGGUGAGUAACACGUGGGUAACCUCCCCAUCAGAGGGGAUUACACUUGGAAACAGGUGCUAAACCGAUACUGAUGGAUGGACCCGCGGUGCAGUAGCUAGUUGGUGAGGUACCGGCUAACACAGGCCACGAUGCAUAGCAGAACUGUGAGGGUGAUCGGCCACACUGGGACUGCGACACGGACCAGACGCCUUCGGGAGGCAGCAGUAGGUAAUCUUCGGCAAUGGACGAAAGGCUGACCGAGCAACGCCGCGUGAGUGAAGAAGGUUUUCGGAUCGUAAAACUCUGUUGGUAGAGAAGCGGUAUCUAACCAGAAAGCCACGGCUAACUACGUGCCAGCAGCCGCGGUAAUAC
rnacentral:rRNA from 1 species